rnacentral:misc_RNA from 1 species
GGUCAACAUUGGUUAUGGUCCCAUGGCUGUAGGACCGAGAUGGUUAGCAUAUGCUUCAAAUAAUCCACUGUUGUCAAACACCGGGCGCUUGAGUCCCCAAAGUCUUAGUCCUUCUCCAGGUGUUAGCCCUUCUACAUCACCCGGUAAUGGAAAUCUCGUAGCUAGGUAUGCCAUGGAGUCCAGCAAACAUUUAGCUGCUGGGUUGAUCAAUCUUGGAGACAUGGGCUACAAAACUUUGUCCAAAUACUGUCAUGAACUUCUUCCUGAUGGGAGUAAUUCGCCUGUGUCAACGAGUGCUAGCUGGAAAGUUGGGAGGGUUCCAGCACAUUCAACUGAAACAGAUGCUGCGGGCAUGGUUGUUAUUAAAGAUUUUGUUUCUCGAGCAGUUAUAUCACAAUUCAGGGCACACACCAGUCCUAUAUCUGCUCUGUGUUUUGAUCCUAGUGGCACUCUUCUUGUUACUGCCUCUACUCGUGGGAAUAAUAUAAACCUAUUUCGAAUUGUACCUUCUUGCUCAAAUGGAGCAGGAAGUCAAAACAGCGACUGGAAAGCUUCACAUGUCCACCUCUACAAGCUUCAUCGGGGUGUAACUCCAGCUGUGAUACAAGACAUUUGUUUUAGUCACUACAGUCAGUGGGUAGCUAUUAUUUCAUCCAGGGGAACUUGCCAUCUUUUUGUACUAUCCCCUUUUGGCGGUGAGGCUGGUCUUCAACUACAAAAUUCUUAUGUUGAUGGACCUAUCCUUCAACCUAUUCUUUCAGGACCAUGGUGGUCUACAUCAUCUUUCCUAGUCAAUCAGCAGUCUUUUGUGGCAGCGCCUGCACCUAUCACACUCUCUGUGGUCAACAGGAUAAAGAAUGUGAAUUCAGGUUGGCUAAAUACAGUGAGCAAUGCUGCAUCUUCUGCAGCAGGA